CCUACGGGCGGCAGCAGUGGGGAAUAUUGCACAAUGGGCGGAAGCCUGAUGCAGCGACGCCGCGUGAGGGAUGACGGCCUUCGGGUUGUAAACCUCUUUCAGCAGGGACGAAGCGUAAGUGACGGUACCUGCAGAAGAAGCGCCGGCCAACUACGUGCCAGCAGCCGCGGUACGACGUAGGGCGCGAGCGUUGUCCGGAGUUAUUGGGCGUAAAGAGCUCGUAGGCGGCUUGUCGCGUCGACCGUGAAAACUUGGGGCUCAACCCCAGGCCUGCGGUCGAUACGGGCAGGGUAGAGUUCGGUAGGGGAGACUGGAAUUCCUGGUGUAGCGGUGAAAUGCGCAGAUAUCAGGAGGAACACCGGUGGCGAAGGCGGGUCUCUGGGCCGAUACUGACGCUGAGGAGCGAAAGCGUGGGGAGCGAACAGGAUUAGAUACCCAUGUAGUCGG
rnacentral:rRNA from 1 species